rnacentral:lncRNA from 1 species
AAAGAAAGAAUGAAAGAAAAUCUUGAUAUAUUUGACUGGCAGUUGACUUCAGAAGAAUUACAUCAGAUAAAUCAAAUUCCACAGCAAAAAGCAUUUCCUGCCCUAGAAUUUAUUCAUAGCGAAGGGCCUUACACGACUGUUGAUGAGUUUUGGGAUGGAGAAAUCUAAUUAUUCUUACAAAAUUAUAUGUAUUUGAUUGAUUAAUUAAUAUUUUUAUGAAAUAGUUAAUACUCAUAUAUGUCCUUAAACUAGUGGUGUAAUAAUUUAAUAAGACAUGAUCAUGUAAUAAUGUUAGUUAGGUUAUUAAACUUAAGCAAUUAAUAAUAAAACAUUUAUUGUUGUUAUGAUAUGCUCGAAAAUUAUAUUAUAUAUAUGAUUUACUUUAUUAAUGUAUUAUAAAAGUUCUUUAUAAUUAUUAAAAAUGUGAUAGAAAUCAUAAGAACAAAGUGCCAAUAUUGUCACAAUGAGGACAAUGUAAGUUAAAAAAAGAUUCUAUAAAAAUAAAUUUUAAAUUUUGAAAUAUUUUUUUUAAGUUGUUACUAAUCUUAUUAAAAGUGAGACCAUAUGCUAACAAACUUAAUUGUUCUAAUAUUCAAAUAUUUAAGUCACGAAUGAAAUCUGAUAAGAAUAUGUAAGGAUUUUACACGUGAUAUAUGCUAAAUAAUAGAAUAAUUUGUAUGCAAAAUUAAUUAAAAAUUUGAUCAAUAAUGCAUGUGUAUGAAAAUGUCACUCAUUCAUAAUUAAAUCUAUUAAUUAAUUUUUUUUAAAAGACAUUAGGAAUAAGGACAUGAUUGAUUAUUUGGCGUCAAUCCAUCCUCUUCUCUUAUACUUUUUCUGUAACACCCUAAAUUAAUUUUUUAUAAUUUAAAAUUUUAUUAUAAAUAUAAUUUUUAAUUUUUUAAUUUUAAUUUACAGUAAAAAUGAAAUAAAAUUGAUGGAGAAUUAAAUUGAAAAUAAUUUUGGAGAAAAGUGGUGAAAAUUUAGGUUUUGAAUGUAUUUUUGAAAGAAAAAUUAGAAUUUAUGAGUCAAAAUGCAAUUUAGAGAAGUUUCGCCACGUCAGAUGCUCAGUUGCAGGCCCGAUGAAUUAGGACGUGUCGCGUGGCAGCGGACGCUGACGCAGUACCACGCGUUUGAUCCGCGUGUCAGUGAUCGAACGGUCCAGAUCCGUUCUCGCGCACACGGACGGUCCAGAUGCAUUCCCUCUCCAAAUACGAUCGGACGGUCCAGAUUAGAUCGCGAUAGACGAUAUAGAUUGGAUCGCGAUGAACGGUCUAGAUUCACUCCCUAUUUAAUCGCGAUCGGACGGUACAGAUCAAACGCGAUGGACAGUUCAGAUCAAAAGUAGAUGGAUAUAAAUAACUACCAUCUACACCAAACCCUAACCCUAGCCGCCAGACCCCUCGCGGGAGAAGAAGACCCGACCGCCGAGAAGGAGACUGCCGCCGCACCGGAGCUCCUUUCGACCGCCAAAAAAGGUAAAAAAAUUUCAUUUUGCUCGGAAUUCAAUUUUAAACACACCCAUAGCAAAAUCAGAGCAAAAGGAUUGGCUGAUUGGUCAAAAAACGUGAGCAAAGACUGGUGGCACCGCCGCGGGGAAUUCCACAAAACGCCUCUGAUGAGGUCCUUUUCGAUUCCCGUUCGGUGUGAUUUUUCCACCGUUGUAAUCACCGUUUCCUUCUCUACAGGUGACUGGAACAAAACACUCAACCACAAUGUGAGCCAGAGGAGCCGCCGCACCAGAGAGCCUCGCUGCUGGUGAGUUUCGAUUUUUUGUAUUUUUCGGCCAAUCGAGAUCCUUUAACAUGUUUUCUCACAAGAAUUGAUACGAAAUCGGCCGAAUUCGGCUAAAAAGACCGAAAACAGCUUACCCGAGGCGGACUGCCAUUGCGGACGGCGGCACUGUCGCCAGAACAUGGCGGAGCCACCGUGCCGAAAUUCUGAAAUUGGCCAAAAUGGGCCUUAAGACUGAUUUUGGAUUUGUUUGAGACAUUUGUAGGUACUUAUAGUGCGUUUUGAUUCCCGAAGGAAAAUUCAGGGAACUCGAAAACUGCAUGUAGGCGUAGUGAAUAACUUAACUUUUCGAGCACCAAAUUGAGUAAGAAUCUCUCACCCUACUCUCUGUUAUACAAUUGAAGUCUAAUUAUCAAUAAAUACGAUAUUUUAUAUAAUUUAAAAAAUGUUCAUGAUUAAUUACGGAUUGCUAAUGGAGGCAGAACCGGAAACAAUUCUCUAUUGCUUUUUAUUAAUUGUUUUUACAGAUUAAAUACAUGAUAGUGCCUUAUUAAUUUAUUUUAUAGUUUUGAAUGCAUAUAUUAUUGUUUUACGUGUUUACGGUUGAAUUGAAAAAAUGGAUGUUAAAGGUAAACGGAAAACUUGUGUGAUUAAGUGACUAGAUGAAACGACAACUGAACAUCCUAGGAGAUGGUGGACGGAUCGGGUAUAUAGAGAACCCUACCGUGAACGUGUCUCAUAUCGAACAGGGUAUGAAGACUUGGUAACUUGGCACUCAUACCGGACGGGGUAUGGGGACAACCCGCUUCACCCUCAUACCGGACGAGCUAUUGAGGUUUGAUAAUUUGUGGCUUAUACCGGACGAGGUAUGAGAACGGUCCGUAAUUGAGAACGUUAAAGGAAAAAGUUCACGCGUAGCGAGGACAUCCCUAUGAACCCCCAUAGAUAUCAGCAUGCUGGUGAGAAAAAGGAAAAUUAUUAUUUGAAUAUGAAAGUAUAUUAUGUGCUAUGUUGCCAAGUAUAUGCGGAAUCAUGAUAUAUAUAAUGUUAUUAUUUUCUAUAGGUUGUUUUAUGUAAAUCUCACUACGGUAAGCGGACGAUAAAUGGUUUUAUUAUUGAUAAAUGAAUUUGCUUAACUCAGUGCUCAAUUAGUUAUUUUCUUAUUUUUUUCUACCAAUCUUCUUUUCUGUAUCGGUGAUAUAGUGUGAUAUUCUUGUUGGACUUGUAAUUCAUCACUUAUUUAAUUAUUUUAGAUUAAGAGUACCAGGAUUUAGAGUUUGACCCACAAGAGGAUUGAGAGUAGAUACUAAUUUUCUUUAUUUUUCGUUCGUUUUCUUAUUUCUUAUAUUUCUUUUAAAAUGGUGAAUUCCGUAAUACUGUUUAGUACUUUAAGUUAUUGUGUAAAGAAAGUACACCUUAAACAUUUAUUCUUUUUCGUACUUUAAUUAUCAUUUAUUUUCUUUGAAUAUUUUCGAAAUUGUUAUAUUUUUUUUGUUUUUUUUUUAAUUUUAAUCAAAACGACAUCAUUUUGGCAUUAAAGACAGGGCUCUCCAAUUUGAUCGAAUUUAAAUGGAGAGCUGGAUUUAAGAAAACUAGAAAUUGGGUUUUGUGGUUUUGUUUAGAUUUUAAUUAAAAUGCUUGAAGAGUUGGGGAUUCUAAAAUUGAAUGGUGUGAAGUAGGGUAGUUUAAAAUUUAGAUGGGCUUGGGAAAUAUAAAAGAAAUAAGUGUGGGACUAAUUGCAAGUGGGUUUCUUUUAUUUGAUUUUUCUCUCUUUUUUGUAUUUUGUAUUUUGAUUUUUCUCUUUUUUUUUUUUGAAUUUCUCUCUCUUUUUUGUUAAUAAUAAUAAUCUAUUUUCAACUCUUAAGUAAUAUGGACAAAAUUAAUGUACUAUAAAAUCUUAAGUCCUCUAAGCAGUAGUGAAAUUAUAUAUAAUGCUAUGUUUGGUUUGUAUAACAUGUUUGCAAUAUGUGUAAUAAUACUGAUAUUAUGAUUGAUGCUUAGGGAGACCAAGAAUCACCAUUUAGUUUCUAUUAAUUAUACCUUUGAUUUGCAUUAUUUUACAUCUAAUAUACUCUUAUCUUAAUAUAACUAAUACAAUCCACCUUAAAUAGAUGUUAAAAUUUAUAUAUUGGAGAUAAAACUUCCUAGUUUUUUAAAAUUAACAUUUAGGUUGUAUUUUUAAAAAAUUAGACUCUUCAUUAAGAUUAUUUAAAAUAUAUAUGAAAUUUAUUAAUUAUUAUGUAAUUGUGUUAUUUUAUUUUGUUGUAUUACAUAAAUCUAAAAAUGCAUCUAGAAUGUACGUUUAAAUCAAGUACAAUAAUAAAGGUAGAAGUUGUCGACCCACAAUAAAACAAUUAUCAACCUCCACAUUGCUUCUGUAUACAACCAUAAAUAGAAAGAAAACAAAAGGCAUAGAUUUGGUAAAUUACCUGCAAGAAUAAAUUGUUACUUAAAUUAAAUGAUUAGGACUUUCAUUAUGAAAUAUAUUAUACAUGUACUAAAAUAAUUAUAGGAUGCCACUAAUUUUUAAUGAUCUUGUUUAAUUUUAUUUUAAUAAUUAUCUGAAAUAAAUUAUUUUUUAAUUCCACACACAACUCUUUUUUAAUGGAUAGAGAUUUAAAUUAAUUUAAGAAAAUUACAGAGCGAAGGAAACUGAAGUUGCCUUGGUGUGUAAAAGGAGCUGUCGGGGAGUGUCGUUUACUCUGAUCAUAAACUUAUGAUUUAUAAGUAGGAUUUGUAAUUACAAGGAUAAAUAUAUAUAUAUAUAUAUCUGAAAUUGAAGAGAUAAUGUUUUCAAACCGAUUGAGAAGACGACGUAACUUGUGGCUGGAUAAGAUUUGAGAGGCCCUUUCAUGCUUUUUCUCUGUCUGCAUUAAUUAGCUUCCUUGCUUUUAUAUCUACGUACUGCCUUCAUUCUGGCCCUUCAAUAUAACCACUGUUAUCAUCUAUGCAUAUCAACUUUUACUAAUAUGGAUGUAUAUAUAUAUAUAUAGACAUACAUAAAAUAUUUAUAUAUUGUAUUAUUUGACGUCAAAAAAAGUAGUAAUUAAUGUCAAACAAACAGAUUGGCCAAAAAUUCAAUUGAAAUGAUAUAAUUCACACCAUUUCCCUCGAAAGAAAAAAUAUAUCACACCAUUUAAAUGUACCAAACAAUAAAUAUUUUAAUAUAUAUAUAUAUAUAUGAUUGGUAGUUUACAACUUGCCUUCUAGGUUUUCUAUAUAUAAAUAGGCAUUACAAACCAUCAAAACCAAACCAAUAUCGAUAAGAGAAAACACUUGAAGUGAUACCAUACAGAAAAAAGAUAAGAUGCAAGUGGAUUCAGAAAAUAGAAUUGGCAUUCCACGUCUAGGUUUUGGAACAGCUGAAUAUCCAUUUGGAUUAUCGGCAGAAAUUAUGAAAGAAUCCAUUCUUCAUGCAAUCGUAUUAGGUUACAGACAUUUUGACACGGCUGCCCUCUACCAGUCAGAGAAGUAUCUCGGUGAGGCAGUCUCAGAUGCUCUUACUCUUGGCCUGAUCAAAUCUCGGGAGGAGCUCUUCAUCACUUCCAAGCUCUGGUGCUGCGAUGCCCACCAUGAUCGUGUUCUUCCUGCGCUGCAGAAAACGCUCAAGUAAAUAAGAAUCUACUCAUAUACGUACAACUUUUAUAUACAUAUAAUAAAUUGGAUUAAUGUUCUUUCUCUCGUUAAUUUAUGUGUUCAGAAACUUGAAGCUAGAGUAUCUGGAUCUGUACCUUAUUCAUUUUCCAGUCAGCGUAAAACCAGGUGAAAUCACUUUUCCAUUUCCGAAGGAGGAUAUAGUUACUAUGGAUUUCAAGUCAGUGUGGGAAGCUAUGGAGGAGUGUGUGGAGCUUGGUUUAACAAAAUCAAUAGGAGUCAGCAACUUCUCGUGCAAGAAGCUUGAAAUAAUAUUAUCCACAGCAAAAAUCCCUCCUGCUGUCAAUCAAGAUUUUAUAUAUAUAUAUGUUAUCUUUUCAAGUAAUUUUAGUGUCAUUUUAAGAAGAAAAAUGGUUUUAUUUAUUAAGUUAUGGAUGACUGGCUUUGAAAGGUGGAGAUGAGCUCAGUUUGGCAGCAAAAAAAGCUAAGAGACUUCUGUGAUGAAAAAGGUAUAAUUGUUGAAGCGUAUUCCCCUCUGGGUGCCAAUGGAGCGCUCUGGGGUACAAAUCGUGUUAUGAAAAACGAUGUGAUCAAGAAUAUUGCUCUUGCCAAAGGAAAAAGUGUUGCCCAGGUAACUUCUUCUUUUUCUUUUUAACUCUACAGUUUUCAACGACUAAAAAUUUGUGAUUAUAGUUUAAAUAAAAUUCAAAAAAAAAGUAUAUAGGUCGAAAUUACUAAUUUUUUUUAUAAAUUAAAUAGCGUUACUAAUCUUAUUGAAAUAGACAAUGAUAAAAUAAUUAUAUAUCGAUGAUCAUCGGUGAUUAUGUUCAUCCAUAGAUUUAGAAAUAUAAUCACUUGUUGGUAUUCUUGUCAUUUAAAAUUUUUUAGCAUGGAAAUUGAUUAAUAAUCUAUCAAUGAUUAUGUUGUCCGUAGUAAUUUGUUGGUAAUCUACUGAUAAACUUCAAUAGUAUGGAUGGAUUCUUUCUAUAUUUUCUUAAUGUUAUUUUAUUAUAGUAAAUAAUAUAGAGUUCUUUUAUAUUUUUGAUGUUAUAUAUGUGUUUUGUUUAUUUAUUUUCUUUAAUGAAUAAUUAAUUCUUCUAUUUUAGGCAGUUGAUAUAUAUUGUGGGAGCACAAUUAGAAAAAUAACAUUUGAGUACAUUUUUUUUUUAUCGAUUCUUAUAGAAUUCUCAUUUCUAAUAUUCGUUCUAAGUUAUAAAGCACUAUAUAUUAAGAGAGAAAACUCCUCAUUAUUCAAGAUCUUAGUUACCUUUCAGUUUAAUUUCUUAUACAAUUCUAUUUUUUACUCUCUUAACUUUGUCAUAAAAUAAGAUUAACCAUAAGUGUUAUGAAAGAUAAAAAUUUUACUACUUUAUAUAGCAAUAACCCAUAAAGUCUUUUUUGAAAUAAUUGUUAGUUAUAUAUGUCCUUAAACUAUUGGAGUAGUGAGUUGAUAAGACAUCAUUAUGUAAUAAUUUCAAUUAGGAAAUUAAACUUAAAAUUUUAAUGAUAAAAAUAUUUAUUGUUGUCAUGAUAUGCUUGCAAAUUAUAUUCCAUAUAUGAUUCAAUUUAUUGAAAUAUUAUGAAAGUUCCUUGAAAGAAACUUUUGGUUUCUGAUAGAAAUCAUAAAAAGAAGCACCAAUUUUGUUACACAAGGAUAACAUAAGAUAAAAAAAAAAUUACAAAAAUUUUAAAUAUUUUUAGAAUAACAUAAGGUUAAAAAAAAAAAGUUUUUAUUUUUUAUUUUUUCAAUCUUACAUUGUGAGUAAUACAAUAUUUUUUUACUUAUGCAUAUACUGUAGAUAUGUUUGAGGUGGGUUUAUGAACAAGGAGUUGUUGUGAUCGUGAAGAGCUUCAACAAAGAAAGAAUGAAAGAAAACCUUGACAUAUUCGACUGGCAAUUGAGUUCAGAAGAAUUAUAUCAAAUAAAUCAAAUCCCACAAGAAAAAGCAUUUCCUGCCCUAGAAUUUAUUUAUAGCGAAGGACCUUACAAGACUGUUGAUGAGUUCUGGGAUGGAG